GAUGAAGAACGUAGCGAAAUGCGAUAAGUAAUGUGAAUUGCAGAAUUCAGUGAAUCAUCGAAUCUUUGAACGCACAUUGCGCCCCCUGGUAUUCCGGGGGGCAUGCCUGUCCGAGCGUCAUUACAACCCUCAAGCUCAGCUUGGUAUUGGGCCCCGCCGACCCGGCGGGCCCUAAAGUCAGUGGCGGUGCCGUCCGGCUCCGAGCGUAGUAAUUCUUCUCGCUCUGGAGACCCGGUUGUGUGCUUGCCAACAACCCCCAAUUUUUUAAGGUUGACCUCGGAUCAGGUAGGGAUACCCGCUGAACUUAAGCAUAUCAAUAAGCGGAGGA
rnacentral:misc_RNA from 1 species